AAGGCUUUUAGCAUUUGGCAAAAGAAAAGGGUCUUUUCACCUUUUCACUGUUAUUUGAGCGAACGACGAUGCACGCACGGAGGAGGUUCUUCUCUUUCUCAACCUGAACUCACUGACAACUUCAACCUCCACUCAUUGCACAGUGCACGCCACUUUCACAACGCUAACCCUUUCCGUUACAAUUAAUCUAUCAACCCAUUUCACCAUCCUCUUCGAUCCUUUCCUUUCAUUACCCUCUCGAUUCCAUUUCCAUCAUUUGCAUUUCGGUAGAGCGAGGGGAGUGUGCGUGACUGUGAUGUAUUGUGGCGAGGAAGAGAAGCAAUGGACUUGUGGAAAAGCUGGGGCUGCCAAUUUGCGAAAAGUGAGUUCCAUCGUGCGCGACAUUGGGGAUCCUUGCCUUUCGCAGUCGCCUGUAAAGGUUGUUGUAACUGUAAACAGAAUGCUUAAGUCAGACAAAUGGCAAACCAUGUCUGAUAGUGAAGGAAAGGUGUUUGGUUUUCGGAAGGCACUAAAAUUGAUCGUGUUAGGGGGUGUAGAUCCAUCAAUAAGACCCGAAGUUUGGGAGUUUUUACUAGGUUGUUAUUCGCUGAGCAGCACUGCUGAGUAUCGAAGAAGGUUGAGAGCAGCUAGGAGGGAGCAUUAUAGUGACCUGAUUAAACAAUGCCAAACAAUGCAUUCAAGUGUAGGAACUGGUUCAUUGGCAUAUGUUGUUGGAUCCAAAGUAAUGGAUAUGAGGACUUCAUCCAAAGAUGGACGGAAAUCACAAGCUAAAAUAGAAGGAUCAACUUAUGAUAAUAAUGUUGAAGUAGGGAAAUGUUAUGAUAGGAGCAUUAUUUGUACAGAGGUAGAAAAUUCAAGCCAUUGGGAAAGCUCCAAUAAUGGGGUUGACCUAGUUAGCUUGAGAGUAAGUGCUGAUAAUGCAGCAUGUGAUUCUUCUGGUAAAAAAAACUCCAGUUCCCCAAAGUCAGGGGGAGAAGAAGAGGAAUCAGACCGUGUAACUGAAUGUAGUUUUGAUUUUCCUCCUUUAUCGGUCACUAAUCUGUUUGAGAAGAGUGGUAAAGAUAAAAAUUCAGGCACAGAGCAUGGGGAUAAACUUCCUGCACCAGAACAAUCAAGAUUUGAAGUUGACAGUAUGCAUAGCUUUCAAAUUAAUAACAAUGUAGAGUUAGUUAUUGAAUCGAAUUGCCAACAACCUCUUGCUACCUUAAAUCCCAUGGACUCUGAAAUUGGAAUUGCUUCACCUGAUGAGGAAGAACCAGAACUUCUGUCUGAGAAUCAAGUUUAUGAAGCGCAGAUGGUAAAUCAACUGAAAAUAUCAGAUGUUCCACAGCCAGCAAUGAUAAGAUCCCCAAUUUCUCAAGGAUGGCCUGUCAAUGAAGAGAGAGUAUCAGAAUGGCUUUGGACCUUGCAUAGGAUAGUUGUUGAUGUUGUGAGGACUGAUAGUCAUCUUGAAUUCUAUGAGGACAAGAGAAAUUUAGCUAGGAUGUCAGAUAUUCUUGCUGUCUAUGCAUGGGUUGAUCCUUCAACGGGGUAUUGCCAAGGUAUGAGCGAUUUGCUGUCUCCCUUUGUUGUAAUCUUUGAGGAUAAUGCAGAUGCAUUUUGGUGUUUUGAGAUGCUUUUAAGGAGAAUGAGAGAAAAUUUUCAAAUGGAAGGCCCAACUAGAGUGAUGAAUCAGUUGCGAGCAUUAUGGCAUAUUCUUGAACUGUUAGACAAAGAAAUGUUUGCCCACCUGUCAAAAAUUGGUGCUGAAAGCCUUCAUUUUGCAUUUCGUAUGUUGCUAGUUCUCUUUCGAAGAGAGUUGUCUUUCAAUGAGGCUCUUUCAAUGUGGGAGAUGAUGUGGGCAGCUGACUUUGAUGAAUCCAUGGCUUAUGAUUUAGAAGAGAACUGUCUGGAAGCAUUGGAGUUACAACUUCCUAGAGACUCAAGCAAUGAUAUGAGAGAAGAAAUUGCAGAUAGUGAUGGUGGUAGUGUGAAGAGUGGUUCACGGUCAAAUCAUAAUGAAAAUGACAACACAAAAGCCAGCCCACAGUCAAAUCAUGAAAGAGCUGAUCACUCAGUAUAUGACAGCAAAUUGAAGUCGCUCUCAUCCCAUACCUUUUGUGGCUUGGCAAGGAAUAUCUGGCCUAGAAAUCAUCAAGUUCAAAUGAGCAGUAUUUCCUUAACAAGGAAAGGAAAUAAUGAGUUGGCCAUAUUUUGUGUUGCAGCAAUUCUUGUUUUAAACCGUCAGAAGAUCAUUCGAGAAACUCAUUCCUUUGAUGAUAUGAUAAAGAUGUUCAAUGACAAGGUGUUAAAAAUCAAUGUGAAAAGCUGCAUAACAAAAGCAAUCAAACUCCGAAAGAAAUAUUUUAACAAGGUAAUCAAGAAAAUGAACUAUGUUGCAGAGAAAGGGGACUAAGGUAAUAUCAUUGCCAUUAUACUUGAGACAGAAGCACUGAGUAUCACUUAUAUGGCUCUGCAUUUCCAAAUUGGAGUUUGGUGUUAAGACUUUAGUCAUUACUUAUCCACUUUGGAUGGGAGACUUUGCAGCUUAAAGUGGUUUUGCUUUCAGAGGUUCAUCCAGCUGCUGUAUGUCCAUUGUCUUCAUUACUCUUUUUUACGAGCCAGUGAAAAGAUUGACAAGGGGAUUUUUCAUCACUCUGGUUGCUCCCAGGUUUGAUCAAUUUGCAGUCUUGGAUACCUGGCACAGGUUACGCAAACAAUUCUCUUUCUUUGAACUUUUGGUUCAGCUCAUUUCUGGAGAAAGUCGUACAAAAUUUAUUUCUACCCAGAGGAUUUGGAGUUCGGAAAAAGCACACGCAUACAAGUAGAAAUAGAGGGUGAAUAUGUCACGGGAUUGUUGUAAGAUAUGGAAACAAUGUAGUCAAUUUUUGUGGGUGUUUGAAUUGACAGAGGAUAGGAUUUAUGUUUUAUACAUACAUACUACAUCAAGAAGAUUUUUUAGUGACUUGAAUUGCUGGAACUCAUAAAUUACAAAGGAUAAAGAGGGUAUUAUUCAUAA